GCGCGGUUAAUUUAAUGGUCAGAAUAUCGCUCCGUAAGACCGGGCUACUCUUGGCCACGUCCGGCAAGAACGAAGACACGGGUUCGAUUCCCGAACCGUCGCC